GACGAACGCUGGCGGCGUGCUUAACACAUGCAAGUCGAACGGAAAGGCCCUGCUUUUUUGGGGUGCUCGAGUGGCGAACGGGUGAGUAACACGUGAGUAACCUGCCCUUGACUUUGGGAUAACUUCAGGAAACUGGGGCUAAUACCGGAUAGGAGCUCCUGCUGCAUGGUGGGGGUUGGAAAGUUUCGGCGGUUGGGGAUGGACUCGCGGCUUAUCAGCUUGUUGGUGGGGUAGUGGCUUACCAAGGCUUUGACGGGUAGCCGGCCUGAGAGGGUGACCGGCCACAUUGGGACUGAGAUACGGCCCAGACUGCUACGGGAGGCAGAAGUGGGGAAUAUUGCACAAUGGGCGGAAGUCUGAUGCAGCAACGCUGCGUGCGGGAUGACGGCCUUCGGGUUGUAAACCGCUUUCGCCUGUGACGAAGCGUGAGUGACGGUAAUGGGUAAAGAAGCACCGGCUAACUACGUG
rnacentral:rRNA from 1 species